rnacentral:rRNA from 1 species
UUGGAGGGGCAAGUCUGGUGCCAGCAGCCGCGGUAAUUCCAGCUCCAAUAGCGUAUAUUAAAGUUGUUGCAGUUAAAAAGCUCGUAGUUGAACCUUGGGCCUGGCUGGCCGGUCCGUCUCAUCGCGUGUACUGGUCCGGCUGGGCCUUUCCUUCUGGCUAGGCACAUGCCCUUUACUGGGUNUGUGUCCGAACCAGGACUUUUACUUUGAAAAAAUUAGAGUGUUCAAAGCAGGCAUAUGCUCGAAUACAUUAGCAUGGAAUAAUAAG